rnacentral:rRNA from 1 species
GAGUGAAAUAGAACCUGAAACCGUGUGCUUACAAGUAGUCAGAGCCCGUUAAUGGGUGAUGGCGUGCCUUUUGUAGAAUGAACCGGCGAGUUACGAUUUGAUGCAAGGUUAAGCAGUAAAUGUGGAGCCGUAGCGAAAGCGAGUCUGAAUAGGGCGUUUAGUAUUUGGUCGUAGACCCGAAACCAGGUGAUCUACCCUUGGUCAGGUUGAAGUUCAGGUAACACUGAAUGGAGGACCGAACCGACUUACGUUGAAAAGUGAGCGGAUGAACUGAGGGUAGCGGAGAAAUUCCAAUCGAACCUGGAGAUAGCUGGUUCUCUCCGAAAUAGCUUUAGGGCUAGCCUCAAGUGAUGAUUAUUGGAGGUAGAGCACUGUUUGGACGAGGGGCCCCUCUCGGGUUACCGAAUUCAGACAAACUCCGAAUGCCAAUUAAUUUAACUUGGGAGUCAGAACAUGGGUGAUAAGGUCCGUGUUCGAAAGGGAAACAGCCCAGACCACCAGCUAAGGUCCCAAAAUAUAUGUUAAGUGGAAAAGGAUGUGGCGUUGCCCAGACAACUAGGAUGUUGGCUUAGAAGCAGCCAUCAUUUAAAGAGUGCGUAAUAGCUCACUAGUCGAGUGACACUGCGCCGAAAAUGUACCGGGGCUAAACAUAUUACCGAAGCUGUGGAUUGUCCUUUGGACAAUGGUAGGAGAGCGUUCUAAGGGCGUUGAAGCAUGAUCGUAAGGACAUGUGGAGCGCUUAGAAGUGAGAAUGCCGGUGUGAGUAGCGAAAGACGGGUGAGAAUCCCGUCCACCGAUUGACUAAGGUUUCCAGAGGAAGGCUCGUCCGCUCUGGGUUAGUCGGGUCCUAAGCUGAGGCCGACAGGCGUAGGCGAUGGAUAACAGGUUGAUAUUCCUGUACCACCUAUAAUCGUUUUAAUCGAUGGGGGGACGCAGUAGGAUAGGCGAAGCGUGCGAUUGGAUUGCACGUCUAAGCAGUAAGGCUGAGUAUUAGGCAAAUCCGGUACUCGUUAAGGCUGAGCUGUGAUGGGGAGAAGACAUUGUGUCUUCGAGUCGUUGAUUUCACACUGCCGAGAAAAGCCUCUAGAUAGAAAAUAGGUGCCCGUACCGCAAACCGACACAGGUAGUCAAGAUGAGAAUUCUAAGGUGAGCGAGCGAACUCUCGUUAAGGAACUCGGCAAAAUGACCCCGUAACUUCGGGAGAAGGGGUGCUCUUUAGGGUUAACGCCCAGGAGAGCCGCAGUGAAUAGGCCCAAGCGACUGUUUAUCAAAAACACAGGUCUCUGCUAAACCGUAAGGUGAUGUAUAGGGGCUGACGCCUGCCCGGUGCUGGAAGGUUAAGAGGAGUGGUUAGCUUCUGCGAAGCUACGAAUCGAAGCCCCAGUAAACGGCGGCCGUAACUAUAACGGUCCUAAGGUAGCGAAAUUCCUUGUCGGGUAAGUUCCGACCCGCACGAAAGGCGUAACGAUUUGGGCACUGUCUCAACGAGAGACUCGGUGAAAUCAUAGUACCUGUGAAGAUGCAGGUUACCCGCGACAGGACGGAAAGACCCCGUGGAGCUUUACUGUAGCCUGAUAUUGAAAUUCGGCACAGCUUGUACAGGAUAGGUAGGAGCCUUUGAAACGUGAGCGCUAGCUUACGUGGAGGCGCUGGUGGGAUACUACCCUAGCUGUGUUGGCUUUCUAACCCGCACCACUUAUCGUGGUGGGAGACAGUGUCA